rnacentral:lncRNA from 1 species
GUUCUUCUCCAUGUCUGCUCAGGUCCUUGAUACAAUUCAUCCUGCCAUAUGAAGCCAAAUCUGAGGAGCAGGCAGCAAGUGCUCUCCUUCUGUUUUUCAUGCAUGUGGGAGUCUCCAGCAUUUACAUUAGCAAGAGUAACAGCCGUGGUGGCAGCAUCUGGAUCCUUGAUUGACAGCAUUAUGGAAAGUUACUGGCCAGAUACUCCUUACUUAAGUUGGCACCAAUCAACUUGCCUGGGGAUCAGUCAAAUGGGGUGAGGUGAGGGGGACUUCAGGAGAUCCUUCCCAGAUGGAUGCCAAAUUCCUUUGAUAGCCCUGUCAUUGUCAAGAAUUUCUUCAAGUUUAUGUGUAUAAGAAUAAAAUCUUGUUCAAGUUUAUGAUGAUUUCUUCCACAUGUUAAGACCCUUUUUAUGACACAGAACAAAGGCCAAAAUCAUUCAAGUAGAGGCAAACGGAGGGUUCAAAAGAUCUAUUGGCUGACACACAAUUUGAUGCAUUAUUAAACUACAUAUUUCACCAUGUGAUAGAGAAUUCAUUUUUCAAUGUGUUAGAUGAAAUAAAAUUUCUACCAAAAUGAAAGAACCCUUUUGAGAUGUCAGAUUUACAGCACAGCUGAAAAGAUUAAUGACUUCAACCCAGAGAAAUUUUAUUUACAGAUAAUGCAAAGAAAGAACAAGCUGAUUUCAUAGUUUGACACCAACGAAUGAACAGAACAUUUAUCUAGUAAAACUAUCACUUUCUUUUAGAUGCCAAGAGCAAAUUUGCUGAGGUUAACCACAAAUGAAGAUUUAUAGUAUAUAAGGGUUAGAUGAAAUACUAAAAAACCUUAACUUUCUGAUGUUUAAUUCCUCGGCAAAUGUCUGCUUUUGUCAGGCUAUGCUUUGAGACCACCAGUGAUAGAAGUUCUCUACUUUCUGAGGCAGACAAUUGAAAAGUAUAUCCUUGUCUUUCAUGGAACUUAUUAACCCUCUAGAUAAUAUGAUCUAACAAUAUCUGUGGUAUCUGAUACCACUUAUGUUAGUCUGCUUUCCAGAUAUUUGAAGGCAACCAUUUUAUCCUACCACUCUUCCUAUUUUGACUCAGCCAUUUUCAGGACAGCUGACUCACCUUCCAACAAUUAUGGUUUGUAUAUUUUAUAACCAUUUAUUUCCCUUGCAUACAUUUCAAUUUGAAUAUAGUUCCUAAAGUGUAAUUCUUAAAACUAAGUAAGACUAAAUUUGAACCAACCAUUCUGGAAUAUAACACAUUUAAUAAUUACAAACCAAG